UUUGGCUUCUUACCCAAUUGAUACCGUCCGAAGAAGAAUGAUGAUGACCUCUGGCGAAGCAGUCAAGUACAAUAGCUCCUUGGACGCAUUCAAACAGAUCGUUAAGAAUGAGGGUACUAAAUCUCUCUUCAAGGGUGCUGGGGCAAACAUUUUGCGUGCCGUUGCGGGUGCUGGUGUGUUGGCUGGGUAUGAUAAGCUUCAGCUCCUUGUUCUUGGGAAGAAAUAUGGUUCCGGUGGUGGUGGUUAAAAGAGCUUCUGAGGCAGCAAGGAUGAGUGAAGAUUGUGUAGUUUCUCUUAAGUUGAAUAAUCUGUAAUGAAUGAAUGUGUCGUUUCCUUCAGCAUCAAUAGUCGUCACUAGGAACCAAAGCUAUCAAAAGCACACCAGAGUUCUGAGUGUUUGUUGUUUGUUCUUGAGCUUGAAGGUGUAAUUUUGGCCAUCCGAGAAUUCUUAACAUAGCCAUUGCCUUUUGCG
rnacentral:misc_RNA from 1 species